rnacentral:rRNA from 1 species
GACGAACGCUGGCGGCGUGCCUAAUACAUGCAAGUCGAACGCUUCUUUUUCCACCGGAGCUUGCUCCACCGGAAAAAGAGGAGUGGCGAACGGGUGAGUAACACGUGGGUAACCUGCCCAUCAGAAGGGGAUAACACUUGGAAACAGGUGCUAAUACCGUAUAACAAUCAAAACCGCAUGGUUUUGAUUUGAAAGGCGCUUUCGGGUGUCGCUGAUGGAUGGACCCGCGGUGCAUUAGCUAGUUGGUGAGGUAACGGCUCACCAAGGCCACGAUGCAUAGCCGACCUGAGAGGGUGAUCGGCCACAUUGGGACUGAGACACGGCCCAAACUCCUACGGGAGGCAGCAGUAGGGAAUCUUCGGCAAUGGACGAAAGUCUGACCGAGCAACGCCGCGUGAGUGAAGAAGGUUUUCGGAUCGUAAAACUCUGUUGUUAGAGAAGAACAAGGAUGAGAGUAACUGUUCAUCCCUUGACGGUAUCUAACCAGAAAGCCACGGCUAACUACGUGCCAGCAGCCGCGGUAAUACGUAGGUGGCAAGCGUUGUCCGGAUUUAUUGGGCGUAAAGCGAGCGCAGGCGGUUUCUUAAGUCUGAUGUGAAAGCCCCCGGCUCAACCGGGGAGGGUCAUUGGAAACUGGGAGACUUGAGUGCAGAAGAGGAGAGUGGAAUUCCAUGUGUAGCGGUGAAAUGCGUAGAUAUAUGGAGGAACACCAGUGGCGAAGGCGGCUCUCUGGUCUGUAACUGACGCUGAGGCUCGAAAGCGUGGGGAGCAAACAGGAUUAGAUACCCUGGUAGUCCACGCCGUAAACGAUGAGUGCUAAGUGUUGGAGGGUUUCCGCCCUUCAGUGCUGCAGCUAACGCAUUAAGCACUCCGC